AUCGUGGGGGAUAACGCAGCGAAAGCUGUGCUAAUACCGCAUACGAUCUACGGAUGAAAGCGGGGGAUCGCAAGACCUCGCGCGGACGGAGCGGCCGAUGGCAGAUUAGGUAGUUGGUGGGGUAAAGGCUCACCAAGCCUGCGAUCUGUAGCUGGUCUGAGAGGACGACCAGCCACACUGGGACUGAGACACGGCCCAGACUCCUACGGGAGGCAGCAGUGGGGAAUUUUGGACAAUGGGCGCAAGCCUGAUCCAGCCAUGCCGCGUGCA
rnacentral:rRNA from 1 species